rnacentral:rRNA from 1 species
AUGGCGGCGCCGGCGUUAUACUACCUGCUGCUGGUUCCCUUACUGGCAAUCGUUCCCUUUUUAUGCCUGAUCCAUUGCUAUAGUUGGCGGCGGACUGUUGCACCAAGCCGUCUGCCUCCAUCUCCAUGGGCGCUACCGGUGAUCGGCCACCUCCACCACCUCAUUGGUGCUCUCCCGCACCGCGGCAUGCGGGACCUCGCGCAGCGCCAUGGCCCGCUCCUGCUGCUCCGCCUCGGUGGGCUCCCUGUAGUCAUCGCCUCCUCGGCAAUGGCGGCGCGCGAGGUGAUGAAGACGUGCGACAUGGACCUGGCCACCCGCCCGGUGAGCCGCAUGAUCCGCAUUGCCAUCCCCGAGGGUGCCGAGGGGGUCGUCUUCGCGCCUUACGGUGACACAUGGAGGCUGAUGCGCAAGAUCUGCAACGUCGAGCUGCUGAGCGCUCCCCGUGUCCAGUCGUUCUGGCCCCUGCGCGACGACGAGGUUGGCCGGCUGCUCCGGGCGGUGGCACUGGCAGCUUCGGCGCAGCAGAAGCAGACGGUGAACCUAAGUAAGCUUGUCGCGGCGUACGCCGCCGACUUCUCCGCGCGCGCAAUCAUCGGCAGCCGUUUUAAGGAACGGGACUCGUUCCUGGCGAUGCUGGCGCGCGGGAUCAAGCUAUUUGCCAAGAUAGGUUUGCCGGACCUCUAUCCUUGUUCUUGGCUCGCCAUGGUCGUCAGCCGGAUACCAGGCCAGAUGAAGAAGCACAAAGAGGAUGCAGAUGCCUUCCUAAACUCCAUUAUCGACGAGCACCAGCAGAACUACAGAGUUUGUGGUGGUGAUAAGGAGGAGGACAUGCUGGACGUGCUCUUGAGGUUGCAGAGAGAGGGUGGCCUGCUGCGGCACCCUCUUUCUACUGACCGUAUCAAGACAAUCAUGGGCGAUAUGUUUGCCGGGGGGAGCGAUACCGCUGCAACAACACUGCAAUGGAUCAUGGCCGAGCUCAUGAGGAACCCCAGACUGAUGCAUAAGGCCCAAGAAGAGAUCAGACGAGAAUUGGCUGGACAGCACAAGGUGACAGAGAAGGGCCUAAGAAAUCUCAACUACAUGCACCUGGUCAUCAAGGAGGCGCUUCGACUGCACCCUCCGCUGCCCCUACUGCUGCCGCGAGAGUGCCAGAAAAACUGCAAGCUCCUAGGCUACCACAUACCCAAGGGCACAAUGGUGCUCGUGAAUGCAUGGGCCAUAAACAGGGACCCCCGCCACUGGGACGCACCCGAGGAUUUCAUUCCGGAGAGGUUUGAACGUAGCAACAUUGACUUCAAAGGGACCAACUUUGAGUACACGCCAUUUGGGGCAGGGCGGCGGAUGUGCCCGGGUAUGGCCUUUGGUCUGGUGAACAUAGAGUUCGCGCUCGCUGGGCUGCUCUACCACUUCGACUGGGAGCUGCCACACGACACACAGGCCGGGAAGCUGGACAUGGCAGAAGAAAUGGGCGUCACUGUGCGCCGUCGUCAAGACCUUUUGCUUGUUCCGACCAUCCGAGUGCCUUUGCCAAUAGACUACCAGUAA